UAUUGUAGUGGUCUGCAACUUUAGAUAAAGAUAAUUGAAACCGGUAUAUUUUGAACCCAUCUGCACAUAAUAACGGACUGAAUUAUGUUUAAUUAUACAAAACACAAUGUGUCCUUUCCUUUCUUUUUUAUUUUUCUCCACUUUUCUUGAAAUUAAUCUUAAAGCAAAUUUAAUUGUACAUUAACACAAGGUAAGGUAAAGUACCACAAUUUAACACAAAAACAUCACAAAGACUUUAGAAAUGGAUGGUAUAAAUGUAUGAAAUAUAUGAGUGAUCAAAUACCCCCAAACUUACAUCUUUGCUAGUCCUCUAGCAAAACAAAGAAAAUAUGAAAAAGUAAUAACAUGAAAAACAUUAGCUUCCCUCUAUGUGACCCUCAUAGAAUUUCAUCCAAGAAAACAAAUCAUCAAGAACCAUA
rnacentral:lncRNA from 1 species